rnacentral:rRNA from 1 species
UACGUAGGGGCCAAGCGUUGUCCGGAUUUAUUGGGCGUAAAGAGCUCGUAGGCGGUUGGGUAAGUCGGGUGUGAAAGCCCCGGGCUCAACCUGGGAAUUGCAUUCGAGACUGCAUGGCUAGGAUGCGGAAGAGGGAAGCGGAAUUUCCGGUGUAGCGGUGAAAUGCGUAGAUAUCGGAAGGAACACCAGUGGCGAAAGCGGCUUCCUGGUCCAGCAUCGACGUUCAGGCACGAAAGCGUGGGGAGCAAACAGG